rnacentral:rRNA from 1 species
GAGAAUGUCCUCAACCCUUCCAGGGGAGAACGAGUAUGCUUUUUUCCCUACUUGUUGAGAGGUGUCGGAUUUCCAAUCCAUCCAUUCCUCCGAGGUCUUCUAGAGUAUUAUGGCCUCAAACUGCACAAUUUCACUCCUACCUCCAUCCUGCAUAUUGCGGGUUACGUUGCUCUUUGCGAGCUAUUCCUGGGUUGCGAGGCCCAUUUUGAGUUAUGGAAGAAGCUAUUCUGCCUCAUCCCUCCUAAUCAAGAGGGGUCAAUAUUUCAAGUGGGCGGCGUCGAGGUAUGGCGUAUCGCCGGGACCGGAUACCUGUCCGGCACGCCAAUGAAGGCAUACGAAGAGUGUCCUUCCGAAUGGUUCUAUAUUGAGGAUGCCUCC